CUGCUCAAUGAAUAAUUUUAAAUAGCUGCAGUAUAAAUAACUGUACAAAGGUAGCAUAAUAAUUUGUUUUUUAAUUAAAAACUAGAAUGAAUGAUUUAAUGAAAUAUAAACUAUAUCAAAUUUAUAAAAUAAAUUUAUUAUUUAAAUAAAAAAAUUUAAAUAACUUUUAAAGACGAGAAGACCCUAAAGAAUUUUAAUAAUAAAUUAAAAUAUAAAUUUAUAAAUUAUUAUAUUAAUUGGGGAAAUUUUAAAAUUUAAAAAAUUUUUAAUUAAAUAAACAUAAAUUUUUGAAUAUAUAAAAUUUUUUUAAAAAAUUAAAUUAAAUUACCUUAGGGAUAACAGCAUAAUUUUUUUAAAAAG
rnacentral:rRNA from 2 species